rnacentral:rRNA from 1 species
CUACGUGCCAGCAGCCGCGGUAAUACGUAGGGCGCGAGCGUUGUCCGGAAUUAUUGGGCGUAAAGAGCUUGUAGGCGGUUUGUCGCGUCUGCUGUGAAAGGCCGGGGCUUAACUCCGUGUAUUGCAGUGGGUACGGGCAGACUAGAGUGCAGUAGGGGAGACUGGAAUUCCUGGUGUAGCGGUGGAAUGCGCAGAUAUCAGGAGGAACACCGAUGGCGAAGGCAGGUCUCUGGGCUGUAACUGACGCUGAGAAGCGAAAGCAUGGGGAGCGAACAGGAUUAGAUACCCUGGUAGUCCAUGCCGUAAACGUUGGGCACUAGGUGUGGGGGACAUUCCACGUUUUCCGCGCCGUAGCUAACGCAUUAAGUGCCCCGCCUGGGGAGUACGGCCGCAAGGUUAAAACUCAAAUGAAUUGACGGGGGCCCGCACAAGCGGUGGAGCAUGUGGUUUAAUUCGAUGCAACGCGAAGAACCUUAC